rnacentral:rRNA from 1 species
GACGGAGGGUACUAGCGUUGUUCGGAAUUACUGGGCGUAAAGGGCGCGUAGGCGGCCCUGUCAGUCGGGUGUGAAAGCCCGGGGCUCAACCCCGGAACGGCACCCGAGACGGCGGGGCUGGAGACCGGGAGAGGAGGGUGGAAUAGCCAGUGUAGAGGUGAAAUUCGUAGAUAUUGGCUGGAACACCGGUGGCGAAAGCGGCUCUCUGGCCCGGUUCUGACGCUGAGGCGCGAAAGCGUGGGGAGCAAACAGG